GUGGGAGCUGCUUAUAACUCUCUUACUUGUUGCUAAAAUCAAUAUUGCUAAUAAUAUACAUGGAAUUUAUUAUGAAAAAAGGCUGAAGGUGGUGAAGGACUUUUCUUUCGAAAUUUCAUUUGUAGAUCUGUGUUGGUUAUGGAGAACAAGGACCAUCCAAGCUGGGAAGCACUUCUUGUGUUGUUUUUGGAAGACAGGCAUUUUAUAUAUUGUGGCUC
rnacentral:lncRNA from 1 species